rnacentral:misc_RNA from 1 species
CCGAGUUUACAGCUCCCAAACCCCUGUGAACAUACCACUUGUUGCCUCGGCGGAUCAGCCCGCUCCCGGUAAAACGGGACGGCCCGCCAGAGGACCCCUAAACUUCUGUUUCUAUAUGUAACUUCUGAGUAAAACCAUAAAUAAAUCA